rnacentral:rRNA from 2 species
UCGCUAGUAAUCGCGGAUCAGCAUGCCGCGGUGAAUACGUUCCCGGGUCUUGUACACACCGCCCGUCACACCACGAGAGUUGGUAACACCCGAAGUCGGUGAGGUAACCUUUUGGAGCCAGCCGCCGAAGGUGGGACCAAUGAUUGGGGUGAAGUCGUAACAAGGUAGCCGUAUCGGAAGGUGCGGCUGG